UCAGAGCUGAACAGCUGGGACGUCCCACCUGUCUGUCAGAGAUCUAAACACAGCCCAGCUGACCUCAGUGUGACUGGAUGAGCAGAACCAGGACCUGGAGACCGAGAACCCACACAGACGACUCCGAUUAGGGUUGAGGCAGAUAAAGCAGUUUGGCUCAGGUUAGUUUAAACUUGUGAUCCAGAUUAUUCACCUGUUUAACCAUAAACUCA